AUUGAACGCUGGCGGCAGGCUUAACACAUGCAAGUCGAGCGGGGGAAGGUAGCUUGCUACCGGACGUAGCGGCGGACGGGUGAGUAAUGCUUAGGAAUCUGCCUAUUAGUGGGGGACAACAGCACGAAUGGGAUGCUAAUACCGCAUACGUCCUACGGGAGAAAGCAGGGGACCACCUGUGACCUCGCGCUAAUAGAGGAGACUAAGUGGGAUUAGCUAGUUGGUGGGGUAAAGGCCUACCAAGGCGACGAUCUGUAGCGGGUCUGAGAGGAUGAUCCGCCACACUGUGACUGAGACACGGCCCAGACUCCUACGGGAGGCAGCAGUGGGGAAUAUUGGACAAUGGGGGGAACCCUGAUCCAGCUAUGCCGCGUGUGUGAAGAAGGCCUUAUGGUUGUAAAGCACUUUAAGCGAGGAGGAGGCUCUUUUGGUUAAUACCCAAGAUGAGUGGACGUUACUCGCAGAAUAAGCACCGGCUAACUCUGUGCCAGCCGCCGCGGUAA
rnacentral:rRNA from 1 species